rnacentral:rRNA from 1 species
AAGUCGUAACAAGGUUUCCGUAGGUGAACCUGCGGAAGGAUCAUUACCGAGAGAGGGAUUUUGCGUCCCCCGGGGAUUGCUACGGCACCCCAACUCUUCAACCCUGUGUCUACCAACCUUUGUUGCUUUGGCGAGUGUCGGGGCGCAAGCUUCGGCCCUGACCUCGGUCAGCGAGCCCUCGCCAGAGACCCAUCAUAACUCUGUUUUCAGUGGAGUCCGAGUAUACAAACGAAUAAAUCAAAACUUUCAACAACGGAUCUCUUGGUUCUGGCAUCGAUGAAGAACGCAGCGAAAUGCGAUAAGUAAUGUGAAUUGCAGAAUUCAGUGAAUCAUCGAAUCUUUGAACGCACAUUGCGCCCUUUGGUAUUCCGAGGGGCAUGCCUGUUCGAGCGUCAUUGCAACCCUCAAGCUUUGCUUGGUAUUGGGCCUUCGCCUUGCCUCCGGGGAGGGCGUGCCCGAAAAUCAGUGGCGGUCCAGGGAGACUUCAAGCGCAGUAAAACUUCCCGCCUUCGAAGGCCUCGCCUGUGGCUGAGCCGUGAAACCCCUCAAAUUUUCAAUGAUUGACCUCGGAUCAGGUAGGGAUACCCGCUGAACUUAAGCAUAUCAAUAAGCGGAGGAAAAGAAACCAACAGGGAUUGCCUUAGUAACGGCGAGUGAAGCGGCAACAGCUCAAAUUUGAAAUCUGGCUCCUUCCGGGGUCCGAGUUGUAAUUUGUAGAGGAUGUUUCGGGCGGAGCACCGGUCUAAGUCCCUUGGAACGGGGCGUCAUAGAGGGUGAGAAUCCCGUAUGUGACCGGUGACGAAGCCCAUGUGAAACUCCUUCGACGAGUCGAGUUGUUUGGGAAUGCAGCUCAAAAUGGGUGGUAAAUUUCAUCUAAAGCUAAAUACCGGCCAGAGACCGAUAGCGCACAAGUAGAGUGAUCGAAAGAUGAAAAGCACUUUGGAAAGAGAGUCAAAAAGUACGUGAAAUUGUUGAAAGGGAAGCGCUUGCAACCAGACCUGCCCGCGGGUGAUCAACCGUCCUUCUGGGCGGUGCACUCGCCCGUGAUCAGGCCAGCAUCGGUUCGGGCGGCCGGAUAAAGGCCCUGGGAACGUAGCUUCUUUCGGGGAGUGUUAUAGCCCUCGGUGCAAUGCGGCCAGCCUGGACCGAGGACCGCGCUUCGGCAAGGAUGCUGGCGUAAUGGUUGUAAGCGGUC